CCUACGGGUGGCAGCAGUAAGGAAUAUUGGUCAAUGGAGGAAACUCUGAACCAGCCAUCCCGCGUGAAGGAUGAAGGGGCUCUGCCUUGUAAACUUCUUUUGUCUGGGGCGAAAAAGCUCGAUUUAUCGAGAACUGACGUUACCAGAAGAAUAAGCACCGGCUAACUCCGUGCCAGCAGCCGCGGUAAUACGGAGGGUGCAAGCAUUAUCCGGAAUCACUGGGGUGAAGGGGUGCGAGGACGUCUUAGGAGAAAGGCUGUGGCUUAACCAUGGAAGUGCCAUUGAUACUGCAGAGCUUGAAUGAGGUUGAGGUUGGCGGAAUGUGACAUGUAGCGGUGAAAUGCUUAGAUAUGUCAUGGAACACCGAUUGCGAAGGCAGCUGACUGGACCUAUAUUGACGCUGAGGCACGAAAGCGUGGGGAGCGAACAGGAUUAGAUACCCGGGUAGUC
rnacentral:rRNA from 1 species